GAACUUUCUGCCCGAAUCGAUCUUCUCGGACGAAAUUUGUUUUACUUUAUAUAUUGGAUAAUGUAGCGUUUGAAUGUGUGUUUUACAGUUAAUUAACGUUGCUUGUGAACAUGAAUACUAAAGGAAUCGUAAUUAAUCGAAUUUAAAAUGAAUUCCUCCUUUACCGUGUAUGCAGCGCGAGAUAUUUGAAAUGCUGUGGGCGGGAAGUGCGCGUGGUGCGGGAGAAAACACCCGAGGCACAUUCCUGUAUUAUAAUAUUGAGUUAAGUUUUUAAAUUAAUAUUUGUCUGUUCUUUUAUUUGUCUUUGACAUGUUAUCUCUGAUUUCAUGUAUAUGUUUGCCCAAAAUGAUGAUCCAGAUCUGUAAGUAAAGACAUGAGCUAACGUUACAUUUGCCUAACUUGGUGUUUUGCUUCGUCCAGGGAAAAAUGUUAGGAUAUUUUUAGUAUAAAUCAUGAUCAUGAUAGUAGAAAUAGUAGAUUACAAUAGUAGUAUUUGCACAACUAAUUAAUUGACCUAGCAAACAACUUUCGACCACUAAUAAAUGCUGUAAAAAUGUUUCUCCCCUUAGGACCUAAAGCUUUUCAAUGUUGUUUCACUACCGAGGACACUUUUGAAAUAACGUUACAUGUGAUGGUUUGCAUUCCUGUUAAAUAUCUUCUCUACGUUUCUACUGAAAGAAAAAAAGACACAUCUUGGAUGGCCUGAAGACUGAAAACAUUCACCUGAGAAGAGUGUGUCCUGUAGGCCCUUUUUUCUUAAGAGAGAAACUCCUGAAGACCUCAUAGAGUACCUUGAUAACCAAACAGAUGAUUGUGAGGGUGACCUUGAGCAGCUCUUCGUGGUGGUGUUCAUUAUUCUGAAGUAAGGGGAGAACUUCAUGAACCGCCUGCUGACAUUGACAUUGUGAUCGAUAAAGUUUUGAAUCAGCUCACUUCAGUCACAUCAGCUUGUGCCCUGCUUCUGGGUAUGAUAUACAUCAACCUAUAAAGGUUUAUAUUAAAUAGUCAUAAAUUUGAAUUCAGCGUGUUUUAACUUAAACCUUUUUUUAAUCAUAUUUCAAGUUGCACUUAAUUUUAUAGUACACUGUAACAGUCAGAUUUCCAAAUAUUUAUGACCCACCUUCUGUCAAUCGUACAAUACUACCGAUCAAAUGUUUAAGAACAUUGUGCAGUUCUAACUUCCUGUUUGUUUCUGUUUUCUUUAAAUGUCUUACAAGUGAAGGCUGAAAAAAAGGAGGCCUCAAAGUUUGUGUUUGCUGUUUCUGCAAAACUGGCUGUGUUAUGCUCCUGAUCAGCUUGCGGGCGUUGCUCGUGGUGGAAAUCUCUGAGUUCAUCAGAGUAUCAUUUUAAUGAAUAAGGACAUACUUUUUGCAUUAGAAGAGUAGCUUCAAUCCUUGAAAAGCUUCAAGUCCUGAACUGUGGUAGUGUUUCAGUCUGUAGUACUGUGUUUCUGUCUUCGUUGGUGAGUUUCCAUGUGUAUUUACUUCCAUUUUACAGAUGCAGGUUGCAUUUGUUGUCACGGUUUUCCAGGCUCUUUUUCCAAUGACUAAAAUGCAUGUUUGAGCUGUUUUAACUGAAAGUAACUUGCACUGACAUCUUACAAUUUGUCUGUGCUAUUGUUUUGUCUCAAGAUGAAUGCCAUUUAUGUUUUAAUCUUUCACAGACAAAGCUUAAAUCUAGUCCCAGACUAAAAUGCAUGUCUGAGCUGUUUUAACUGAAAACAUAUCUUAAAAUAUGUCACUGCCAUUGUUUUGUCUCAAGAUAAACACCAGCAAUGAUUGUUUUUUCUAAGGCAUGUCUAUACAAGUUACUGAAAUAAUUGAACUAAGGUCUGAUCCUGGCUUAGCCUAAGCCCUGUCUGGUCUAUUUGUUUGUCACCACGAAAUGCCAUUUUUACAGCCACUUGUUUUUCCUGAAUGUGAUGUUAAUUCCUGUUCAAACAGUGUGUGUGGUUAUAAAUAAAUACAUUUGUGUGUAAACUGAA